GUGGAUUAGAUACCCCGGUAGUCCACACCGUAAACGUUGGGCGCUAGGUGUGGGAUCCAUUCCACGGGUUCCGUGCCGCAGCUAACGCAUUAAGCGCCCCGCCUGGGGAGUACGGCCGCAAGGCUAAAACUCAAAGGAAUUGACGGGGGCCCGCACAAGCGGCGGAGCAUGCGGAUUAAUUCGAUGCAACGCGAAGAACCUUACCUGGGUUUGACAUACCGAGAAAUCCUCCAGAGAUGGGGGGUCCGUAAGGGUUCGGUACAGGUGGUGCACGGCCGUCGCCAACU
rnacentral:rRNA from 1 species